AGUAUAUUUUAAAGAAAAUACAAAUGAUAAAAGAAAAUGAUUACUGUACAAGUCAAGACUCCAAAAUAUAAAUGUUUCAAAUUAGGUAGAAAACUUUUCAAUUGUUUGGGGAAAAUACUGAAUAAUGAGAGGUGUUAUCUAUACGCUAGAGGACCAUGCAUGGUUCUUAUUUUCAUCAUUCCUCUUUCUUUGUUCUCUAAGUUGUAAUCAAUACGUGUAUAAUAUUUCCACAUCUCCUUUCCCCCCAAAAACUAAUAAACCUAAAAUGAUGGAAGCUAACCAGGUAAUCGCUAAGCUCCCUGCUUGUCCGGGCGGCCUGUGCCUGCCAGCUCGGAGCCCGUGUGGCUGUGGAUGGCUCUGCGACUGCUUCUUGGGGUUGGGGGUGGGGAGGCCCUUGAAAACACUGCAUUCCCUUGACCCCAGGGCUGCAUUUAGGAAUGGGAGUGGGACCCAAAUGAGACCAAACAAAGGAUGCUAGGAUUUUGCCUGAACGCUGGGGAAAGAGGUCUUCUGUUACCACUGAGCUUACUAAUUAGAACUGUCAUCCCCGCUCACCCCACUGGGAGUGCUGGCUUGUGAAUGAAAUCAACUAAAAAAAAGAAAAGAAAAGAAAAAAAAGCAGACCUGAGAGACAGAAAAAAAAAUAAACAAACAGACAUAAAUACCCAGAGGUGUCUGUGGACCUCACUGAGCCCCUGGAUCCCGCUGGGAACGGAAGCAAAGUCAUACCAUGACUCUCCCGGUUCCCUCACCCAAUAAAUGUCCUUUCUCAUCUAAACCAGUCUGAGACGUGCAUGCGGACUGACUGCUAGGCCCUGCUUGUCACCCACGCGCUCUAACUUGCCCUCCCCACGCAGCCCUGUGCGGAGUGUGGCACAGUGCACCAGGGUGGCACCAGGGGCCAGAGCACCCACUCGUGUUUCUUCUCCUGGGCACCCAGGUCCCGCAGGGGUAGCCUCCUCAUGUUCCACACCAGCCGGCCUUGGAUUUUGAUCCUGGGACAAAGCUGGAGCCUUACAGGCUCCUCUGUGCAGAUUUUCCACGGGGCGAUCGCUGUGCCCCUUCACGUGAGAGUGAAGCGGUGCAGGAACGCACUUCGGAAGACAGGCAGCUGCUCCCCCCGGGGCUGGGCCACCGCUGCCGGCCCAGCUGUUGUGUCUUGGCUUCAGCCUUUAGCUCAGUGCUUUGGUCCCCCCUCCCGUCUAGUGCAGAGCCGGGCUGGCGGUCCUGGAGCCUGGAGGGAGGCUCUCGGUGCCUUCGACCUGACGAACCUCCCCUCCUGUGCUGAGCUCUGGGCACCUGUCACACUCAGCCUCCUGAGCGUGGGACCUGCACCCCAAGUCCUGGUGUCUGGAUGCUGCAUUUCAGCUUUGG